GCCCCCGUAGCUCAAGUGGACAGAGCAAUUGCCUUCUAAGCAAAAGGCUGUGAGUUCGAGUCUCGCCGGGGGCG
rnacentral:tRNA from 1 species